rnacentral:lncRNA from 1 species
GCUUGGAUCAGUAUGACAGAUGAUUAAGUUGGGUGAUAAAGCAAGCGCCCCCUAACCUGACUCAUGCACCGCUGGGUGAAGAUGCGACUCUGAAAGCCUAAAACGAAAGAGAUGGGAGCAGUGGGAUGUUCGAUGGCGCUCUUGACGAAAGAGAUUGGGAGCAGUGGGAUGCGGUUGGUAUUGGCUGGGCUCUUGACACCAUAGAACCGUGUUAAAGCUGAACGUGCGUGUCGCACGUUUUACUGUUGGACGCGUCCCGAAAGGAAAAGAGACCGACAGUUU